CUAGAUUCGCGGCCUAUCAGCUUGUUGGUGGGGUAAUGGCCUACCAAGGCGACGACGGGUAGCCGGCCUGAGAGGGUGACCGGCCACACUGGGACUGAGACACGGCCCAGACUCCUACGGGAGGCAGCAGUGGGGAAUAUUGGACAAUGGGCGGAAGCCUGAUCCAGCAACGCCGCGUGAGGGAUGACGGCCUUCGGGUUGUAAACCUCUUUCAGCAGGGACGAAGCUUUUUUGUGACGGUACCUGCAGAAGAAGCACCGGCCAACUACGUGCCAGCAGCCGCGGUAAUACGUAGGGUGCGAGCGUUGUCCGGAAUUAUUGGGCGUAAAGGGCUCGUAGGCGGUUUGUCGCGUCGGGAGUGAAAUUUCAGGGCUCAACCCUGUUCGUGCUUCCGAUACGGGCAGACUAGAGGUAGGCAGGGGAGAACGGAAUUCCUGGUGUAGCGGUGGAAUGCGCAGAUAUCAGGAGGAACACCGGUGGCGAAGGCGGUUCUCUGGGCCUAUUCUGACGCUGAGGAGCGAAAGCAUGGGGAGCGAACAGGAUUAGAUACCCUGGUAGUCCAUGCCGUAAACGUUGGGCGCUAGGUGUGGGACUCGUUCCACGGGUUCCGUGCCGCAGCUAACGCAUUAAGCGCCCCGCCUGGGGAGUACGGAAUCG
rnacentral:rRNA from 1 species